CUACCAUGCAGUCGAGCGGCCGUAGCAUACGGCAGCGGCAGACGGGAGAGUACACGUGGGAACGCGCCCUUCGGUUCGGAAUAACUCAGGGAAACUUGAGCUAAUACCGGAUACGCCCGUACGGGGAAAGAUUUAUUGCCGAAGGAACGGCCCGCGUCCGAUUAGCUUGUUGGUGAGGUAACGGCUCACCAAGGCGACGAUCGGUAGCUGGUCUGAGAGGAUGACCAGCCUCACUGGGACUGAGACACGGCCCAGACUCCUACGGGAGGCAGCAGUGGG
rnacentral:rRNA from 1 species